rnacentral:tRNA from 1 species
GGGAUAUAGCUCAGUUGGUAGAGUGCUUGCCUCGCAUGCCCAAGUCCCUGGAUUCAAUCCCCAGCUUCCA